AUAGUCAAUAAACUUGUUUAACUUUACCAGUGAGUUUUCCUGAAGUGAAUGGUAAAUUGCUCCGGUAUCAAAAGCUGGUGUAUAUCCACUUUCCAUUGAUGAAGUAGUGAACCAAUUAAUAAAUUUAGAUGGUAUAUUCCUAAAUUACAGUGUUGGGAGCUGGGGUGAUUUGGCUGUGGUGCCUCUCUCUGUGUGAUUCAUGAGUGGCUCUGGGAGCAUUCAUGCAGUCUAGCUGGGUGUGGAGGCUCCACAUGUGGUUGUGCUGAGUGAUCACAGCAUGUGGAGGGGUUCCUGCUGGUCACUAGCAAGGCAUUGUGAGAGACAGCCCAGGCUGGAGAGAGUUCAGGGGGGCACAGUGGUCCCACAGUCCCAGGCUACACCCCGGGGCGGGGGGGCUGUCCCAUCACAGCUCCAUCUGUGGGGAGGGCUCUGGAGGUUUACACAGAGACAGGGGGUUAACACUAGAGCUGUGUGUGCUUCAGCAAGUCCCCCAGAGCACACAGAUCCUGAACACUCCUAGUGAGGGUGUGACAACUUGCCCUCCCCCAGACAUUGGUCUCUCCCAAGGGGGCUCAGUGACCAUGUUUCCAUCUGUUCAGACCCCCACAACCCCCAAAAAAAUCAUGGGCUCAGUUUAAACUCAAUGUGUGUCCUUUGUGACAAAUACUCCACUGAUCCUCAGUGCACUCAUAUCAUGCCUGAUUUCACCCCCGAGGAGGACUCCCCAUUCCCAAACCUGACCUGAUCGCCCAGCUGGAAGCAGGGGAAGAGCCAUGGGUCCCGGAUCUCCAGGUCUCUGAGGAAAAGAAGAUCCCAAGAGGCACCCACCCAGCAGGUGAUGAGACAAUGAGUGAGAAUGAGGAGGGAGAUCUACAGCAGGAAGGACUUGAGCAAAUGGAACUCCAGGGGACCUUCUUGAGAAAAGCUGGAGAGAAGUUCUCCCAGUGCUUGGAACAGAGAAAAGCCUGGAGUAAUUGGCACAGGUCAGAAAGGAAACAGGGAAAAUGUCAAAGGAAGAAAAUGGAGGAAUCCAUUGAAUGUGGGAGAGGAGGCAAGGAUCCCAAGGAAUCCGCAGCCCAGCAGACAAAUCAGAAGGAGAAGAAACCAUAUACAUGCUUGGACUGUGGGAAAAGCUUCAGUCAGUGCUCAGGCCUUAUUUGUCACAGGAGAAUCCACACAGGAGAGAGGCCAUAUAAAUGCCUUCAGUGUGGGAAAAGUUUCAAUGCACCAUCAGUCCUUCUUGUACAUCAGCGAACCCACACAGGAGAGAAACCCUUUAAAUGCUUGGACUGUGGGAAAAACUUCAGUCAGCACUCAGGACU